rnacentral:ncRNA from 1 species
CAAGGACAAGCCGAAAACCUUAAAAAGAGUAGGCC